GGUCCUGAGUUCGAAAAGAUUGAUGAGAAAAGCCUGGGGCAGUGGGUAUUAAUUUAUUUUCAUGUUUAAAGGAAAUCUAGACACCAUUUUGUUGAACUGUAAAUCAUCACUACAAAAAACUCAUUGAGCAGCUCUUAAGUAUUAGAUAGUAGAACAGAAGGGCAGGAACUUCAGGGAGCUAUAGAAAAAAUACUUUAAUUCUCUGUUUUUAAACAGUAUGAAAUGUUUACCUAUGUGAUUUUAUUUUUUGGCUUUUUAAUUUAAAAGAAAGACCAAAAUAAACGCUUGCCAACUUUCCCAUAGAUGUCCUCAGACAAACGUUGGGAAACCAAGUGAAUGCUUGCUUGUUUCUGUAUAAAGCCGUCCAAAGUCCUGUGCAGUGAGACUUUCAGCCCGCUGUCGAAGGCAUAGAAAGGCUACUUUCUGCUGCUGCCAGUUUAUACCCACACGUAAAGAAACCUUGUACUGUUACUAUUUUCUAUUGUGGGCACACAGCAGAGUUUGUGGGUGCAAGGGAUGCAUGCCACAUCUCACCUUCAUGAGAUGGCCUGUCGGUAUGCAGAGCACAUGGCAGUAUCCACCAGCCCUUGUGACCUGUCACUCUGGCAUAUGAAUGCUGCUUUCUGUCCAUCGCAUCAGCCUGAAUCUGGGCACUCAGCAGGGUCUGGUCAGUUUGCCUUUCUUCAGGAUUCUAGAGGCAGCUGUUCUGAAGAAAUACCCCCAGCUCUGGUUGAGACUGCUAGACUUAAGCUGGUCCCAUAGGAGGCAAACUGCUGAGAAGCAUUUAGUGGCAUGGCUAGUAAUGAUGUAUAAAUUUUUUCUCUGAAAAUGGUUAUUUUCCAAUCCAGUCCCUUAAUAUGUGAUGUGGUUGUGCCUCAGAAAUCCCUUCCUUUCAUAAUGGUCUUGUACUACUGAAAUGUCUUGCAUUUCUGUGUCUUGCUUAAGUUCAGAACUUGGUCAAACCGAGUUUAGGAACUUAGAGCCACAUUGUCUUAUAUUGCAGUAAAUUUGUGAGUUGUGAGUGGAUAUUUCCAUAAGAAUGCACAUUCAUUCUGUUUCUCUUUUCAGGAGUCUUGUCAGCAGUGCCAGCUCCUUGGCAUUUUGUAUGACACUACAUCAUGAGUGACAGCAAAUGUGAUAGUUUUACAGUGUGCAAGUGGCAGACUCAACUUUCACUGUCCUGAAAUGGUACCAGCAGUUGAAACCAAUUGGCUCUGGAGCCCAAGGGAUUGUUUGGCACCGUCAUUGCAGUGCCUUGCCCUCCAUUGGCAGGAUGAGGCCAGUCGGUGUCACUGUCACACCAUGGGUUAGCCAGGAAGGGAUGCUGUGUCAGGGCUUGGGCUGGCCGCCUUCCUUGGUGUCUCUUCAACUAUGUUUCCAGCCCAGGACAUCAGAACUGUUAGUCUGACCCUGAAUCUGAGUCUCGCAUGGUCAGACAGUCGUCAGCUGCAGCGAUGUCACUGGCCAGUGAAAGGUAAAGUUCUUCACAUGUUUUCUAGACUACAGUUAUCAGCACUUCCCAAACUUUAUCCCUUAUUUUUCUGGACAAAUUUUUUUUCCUUUCUAUUUUUGGUCAAUAAAAUCAACAUUAUCCUUGCCUCUGAAAGAACCCGAUGAAGCUAAGCAUCUAAUGUUUACAGAUGUAGGCAGGGGGGACUGAAGAUAAAAGAACUCCUUUGUGUGUUCUGGUAGAUGAGUUUAUGGUUUCAUGUAAUAGAGAGGCUGAGCUUGGAGAGUGCCUGUCAGUGGUUCUAACUGUCCUGUGGUGCAGAGAUGCUCUCUUGGGCCUAAGUGGUUGAUGGCCCUGGGAGCUGAGAGGACUGAGCCUAGAGCUUCUGAGGGAAGCUAGCCUGGGGGAAGAGGCAGUUGGGAGGUGUACCUGCUCACGUCCAGAAUAGUGGCGGCCUUAGCUUCCAAAUGAUGGCAUACUGGUACUGGCUGGGAAUCCCUUUCCUGAAAUGCCUGGGCACAUCUGCCUGUUUCUGAUUUCUGUUUUGCUUUCAGAUUUUAGCAGAUCUGCAUAGACUUUAUUACCACUUGAGCAUCCCUCAUCCAAAAAUGUGAAUCUGAAAUGCUCCAAAAUAUAAAACCAUUGGACCACGAUAUCAGUACACAAAAGUUUCAGAUUUAGGAGCACUGCAGAUUUUGAAUUUUU
rnacentral:lncRNA from 1 species